rnacentral:rRNA from 1 species
CGCUAGUAAUCGCGGAUCAGCAUGCCGCGGUGAAUACGUUCCCGGGCCUUGUACACACCGCCGUCACACCAUGAGAGUCGGGAACACCCGAAGUCCGUAGCCUAACCGCAAGGGGGCGCGGCCGAAGGUGGGUUCGAUAAUUGGGGUGAAGUCGUAACAAGGUAAC